rnacentral:rRNA from 1 species
UGCGUAGGUGGUCGGGUAAGUCUGAUGUGAAAUCUCCGAGCUUAACUCGGAAACUGCAUCGGAUACUAUUCGGCUGGAGGGUUGGAGGGGGGACUGGAAUACUUGGUGUAGCAGUGAAAUGCGUAGAUAUCAAGUGGAACACCAGUGGCGAAGGCGAGUCCCUGGACAACUCCUGACACUGAGGCACGAAAGCUAGGGGAGCAAACA